UACAAACAUCCCAAACGUUGUUCGGAUUCACUAAACGUAAAAAGUACGUAGAUAAUAAGAUAAAUCAAAUGUGAAAGCUCGGAGCUCAACUCCGAAAUGACAUUGGAAACUACCUUGCUCGAAGGUUAAAAAAAGGACUGGAAUGCUUGGUGUAGCAGUGAAAUGCGUAGAUAUCAAGCGGAACACCAGUGACGAAGGCAAAUCCCUGAACAACUCCUGACACUAAGACACGAAAGCUAGGGAAACAAACAGG
rnacentral:rRNA from 1 species